rnacentral:tRNA from 1 species
ACUUGAAUAGUUUAAAAAAAAUUUUAAUUUGUGGGAUUAAAGAUAUAAUAUAAUUUAUUUUAAGUA